UACUGUGAAACUGCGAAUGGCUCAUUAAAUCAGUUAUCGUUUAUUUGAUAGUACCUUACUACAUGGAUACCUGUGGUAAUUCUAGAGCUAAUACAUGCUAAAAACCCCGACUUCAGGAAGGGGUGUAUUUAUUAGAUAAAAAACCAACGCCCUUCGGGGCUCCUUGGUGAAUCAUAAUAACUUAACGAAUCGCAUGGCCUUGCGCCGGCGAUGGUUCAUUCAAAUUUCUGCCCUAUCAACUUUCGAUGGUAGGAUAGUGGCCUACCAUGGUGGCAACGGGUAACGGGGAAUUAGGGUUCGAUUCCGGAGAGGGAGCCUGAGAAACGGCUACCACAUCCAAGGAAGGCAGCAGGCGCGCAAAUUACCCAAUCCCGAUACGGGGAGGUAGUGACAAUAAAUACUGAUACGGGGCUCUUUUGGGUCUCGUAAUUGGAAUGAGAACAAUUUAAAUCCCUUAACGAGGAACAAUUGGAGGGCAAGUCUGGUGCCAGCAGCCGCGGUAAUUCCAGCUCCAAUAGCGUAUAUUAAAGUUGUUGCAGUUAAAAAGCUCGUAGUUGAACCUUGGGCCUGGCUGGCCGGUCCGCCUCACCGCGAGUACUGGUCCGGCUGGGCCUUUCCUUCUGGGGAACCUCAUGGCCUUCACUGGCUGUGGGGGGAACCAGGACUUUUACUGUGAAAAAAUUAGAGUGUUCAAAGCAGGCCUUUGCUCGAAUACAUUAGCAUGGAAUAAUAGAAUAGGACGUGUGGUUCUAUUUUGUUGGUUUCUAGGACCGCCGUAAUGAUUAAUAGGGAUAGUCGGGGGCGUCAGUAUUCAGCUGUCAGAGGUGAAAUUCUUGGAUUUGCUGAAGACUAACUACUGCGAAAGCAUUCGCCAAGGAUGUUUUCAUUAAUCAGGGAACGAAAGUUAGGGGAUCGAAGACGAUCAGAUACCGUCGUAGUCUUAACCAUAAACUAUGCCGACUAGGGAUCGGACGGGAUUCUAUAAUGACCCGUUCGGCACCUUACGAGAAAUCAAAGUUUUG
rnacentral:rRNA from 1 species